rnacentral:rRNA from 1 species
GACGAACGCUGGCGGUGUGCUUCACACAUGCAAGUCGAACGAGGUAGCAAUACCUAGUGGCGGACGGGUGAGUAACGCGUGGGAAUCUGCCUUUAGAUGGGGGGAUAACGGGUCGAAAGACUCGCUAAUACCGCAUAUGACGAAAAGUUGAAAGGAGUAAUCCGUCUAAAAGAUGAGCCCGCGUCCGAUUAGCUAGUUGGUAGAGUAAAAAGCCUACCAAGGCGACGAUCGGUAGCUGGUCUGAGAGGGAUGAUCAGCCACAAUGGGAACUAGAAACACGGCCCAUACUCCUACGGGAGGCAGCAGUGGGGAAUUUUACGCAAUGGGCGAAAGCCUGACGUAGCGACACCGCGUGAGCGAAGAAGCCCCUGGGGUGUAAAGCUCUGUCAGCUGGAACGAAAAAAAAUG